UGGGGAAUAUUGCACAAUGGGCGCAAGCCUGAUGCAGCGACGCCGCGUGGGGGAUGACGGCCUUCGGGUUGUAAACCUCUUUCAGCAUCGACGAAGCCGGAAGGUGACGGUAGGUGCAGAAGAAGCGCCGGCCAACUACGUGCCAGCAGCCGCGGUAAGACGUAGGGCGCGAGCGUUGUCCGGAUUUAUUGGGCGUAAAGAGCUCGUAGGCGGCUUGUCGCGUCGGCUGUGAAAACCCGCGGCUCAACCGUGGGCGGGCAGCUGAUACGGGCAGGCUGGAGUUCGGUAGGGGAGACUGGAAUUCCUGGUGUAGCGGUGAAAUGCGCAGAUAUCAGGAGGAACACCGGUGGCGAAGGCGGGUCUCUGGGCCGAUACUGACGCUGAGGAGCGAAAGCGUGGGGAGCGAACAG
rnacentral:rRNA from 1 species